AACGAACGCUGGCGGCAUGCCUAACACAUGCAAGUCGAACGAGACCUUCGGGUCUGGUGCCGCACGGAUCCGUAACGCGUGGGAACCUGCCCUUAGGUUUGGAAUAAAUUGCCGAAAGGGGUGCUAAUACCGGAUCAUGUCCUCGGUCCAAAGAUUUAUCGCCAUUGGAUGGGCCGGCGUUGGAUUAGAUAGUUGCGAGGCUAAAAGCCUAUCAAGGCUACGAUCGAUAGAUGGUCUGAGAGGAUGCGCAGCCACACUGGGACUGAGACACGGCCCAGACUACUACGGGAAGCAGCAGUGGGUAAUAUUGGACAGUGGGCGAAAGCCUGAUCCAGCAAUGCCGCGUGAGUGAUGAAGGCCUUAGGGUUGUAAAGCUCUUUUACCCGGGAUGAUAAUGACAUUACCGGGAGAAUAAGCUCCGGCUAACUCCGUG
rnacentral:rRNA from 1 species